rnacentral:rRNA from 1 species
UACGGGGGGGGCGAGCGUUGUUCGGAAUCACUGGGCGUAAAGGGCGCGUAGGCGGCCCGCACAAGUCUGCGGUGAAAACCCCCGGCUUAACCGGGGGCCGGCCGUGGAAACUGUCGGGCUAGAGGCCGGGAGAGGGCAGCGGAAUUCCCGGUGUAGCGGUGAAAUGCGUAGAGAUCGGGAGGAACACCGGCGGCGAAGGCGGCUGCCUGGACCGGCCCUGACGCUGAGGCGCGAAAGCUAGGGGAGCAAACAGG